UAAAGCUUAGUGGUAGAGUAUUUGCCUAACAUGCACAAAGUCCGGGGUUCAAUUCCCAGUA
rnacentral:tRNA from 1 species